rfam:Heterocephalus glaber contig50530, whole genome shotgun sequence.
GGGGAUGUAGCUCAGUGGUAGAGCGCUUGCAUAGCAUGCGUGAGGUCCAUGGGGUUCCAUCCCCA